ACCGGCGCACGCCCUGCGUAACACGUAUGCAACCAUAGCUGUUAGCUGGGGUAUAGCCCGCAGAAAUGUGAAUUAAUCCCCCAUAAGACUACGACAUGGCAUCAUUGAUGUAGUUAAAGCUCCGGCGGUUAAGGAUGGGCAUGCGGUACAUGAGCUAGGUGGUGAGGUCAUGGCUCACCAAGGCUACGAUGUAUAGGGGGUCUGAGAGGAUGAUCCCCCAC
rnacentral:rRNA from 1 species